rnacentral:miRNA from 1 species
UAGAUCAUGGUGUACUCUCUCUCUCUCUCUCUCUCUCUCUCUCUCUCUCUCUAUAUAUAUAUAUAUAUAUAUAUAUAUAUAUAUAUAUAUAUAGAGAGAGAGAGAGAGAGAGAGAGAGAGAGAGAGAGAUUAGUUGUAGAUG